GAUGAACGCUGACAGAAUGCUUAACACAUGCAAGUCGAUUCGAUUUACCUUCGGGUAUUGAGGAUGGCGGACGGGUGAGUAACGCGUAAGGAACUUGCCUCUUGGACUGGGACAACUGUUGGAAACGACAGCUAAUACCGGAUAUUAUGAGAUUCUCGCAUGGGAAACUUAUGAAAGCUAUAUGCGCCAAGAGAGAGCCUUGCGUUCCAUUAGCUAGUUGGUGGGGUAAUGGCCCACCAAGGCGACGAUGGAUAGCCGGCCUGAGAGGGUGAACGGCCACAAGGGGACUGAGACACGGCCCUUACUCCUACGGGAGGCAGCAGUGGGGAAUAUUGGACAAUGGGCCACAAGCCUGA
rnacentral:rRNA from 1 species